rnacentral:rRNA from 1 species
GGGAUGUUCAUAACCCUUUGUUGUCCGACUCUGUUGCCUCCGGGGCGACCCUGCCUUCGGGCGGGGGCUCCGGGUGGACACUUCAAACUCUUGCGUAACUUUGCAGUCUGAGUAAACUUAAUUAAUAAAUUAAAACUUUUAACAACGGAUCUCUUGGUUCUGGCAUCGAUGAAGAACGCAGCGAAAUGCGAUAAGUAAUGUGAAUUGCAGAAUUCAGUGAAUCAUCGAAUCUUUGAACGCACAUUGCGCCCCCUGGUAUUCCGGGGGGCAUGCCUGUUCGAGCGUCAUUUCACCACUCAAGCCUCGCUUGGUAUUGGGCAUCGCGGUCCGCCGCGUGCCUCAAAUCGACCGGCUGGGUCUUCUGUCCCCUAAGCGUUGUGGAAACUAUUCGCUAAAGGGUGUUCGGGAGGCUACGCCGUAAAACAACCCCAUUUCUAAGGUUGACCUCGGAUCAGGUAGGGAUACCCGCUGAACUUAAGCAUAUCAAUAA